GGUGAACGCUGGCGGUAUGCUUAACACAUGCAAGUCGAACGGUCACUUCGGUGAUAGUGGCGGACGGGUGAGUAACGCGUGAGAAUCUGUCUUCAGGUCGGGGACAACAGUUAGAAAUGACUGCUAAUACCGGAUGUGCCUUUGGGUGAAAGAUUUAUUGCCUGAAAAAGAGCUCGCGUCAGAUUAGCUAGUAGGUGGUGUAAGAGACUACCUAGGCUCCGAUCUGUAGCUGGUCUGAGAGGACGAUCAGCCACACUGGAACUGAGACACGGUCCAGACUCCUACGGGAGGCAGCAGUGGGGAAUUUUCCGCAAUGGGCGAAAGCCUGACAGAGCAAUACCGCGUGAGGGACGAAGGCUUUUGGGUCGUAAACCUCUUUUCUCAAGGAAGAUGAUGACGGUACUUGAGGAAUAAGCAUCGGCUAACUCUGUG
rnacentral:rRNA from 1 species